UGAAAAAGUCUAGGAUGCCAUUGUGUUGCCAAGCAACAUUGCUAAUCUAAGAUCUCACAAUCAAGUGCCACAAAAAUUUAGCCACAAUAAAUGUGUCCCCAGAGCAAGUGAAUCAGCAUCAGCUAUUUUAGGAGGAGUUUGUAGGGAGUCCAAAAAAGUCCCCAAUGAAGAUGAAAUUCUUUUCAGGCUAUUCUGUUUCUUUAGCGAUGUAAAAUCAUAUAUCUCAAUUCCCUGGUCCCCAAAUCAGAUAUAAUCAAGAAUAUAAAAUGUAUCCUAUUCCAUGCUAUGAAGGCACUCACAAUGAAAAGAGAAGAUCACCUCCAUAUGAAGAGGAGACUAUACCCUUAUUCAGAAGACAGAAGCCCACGGCUAAAGUCAACUAAUUGGACAGAAGUCUCAUCUGGAUUUCCUUAUCAGACCCAAGAGCCAGAAGAGGAUGAGAAAGUGUGCUGGUGCUCUUGUGCCUGGAAAUGUUCUAUUUAACUUCAAUGAUCUCUUUUCCUUGUCCAGAUGUUGAUUCAGCCUAUAGUUUCUUUUUAUUCUCCCCUCUCCCCUCAUAUUUUUCCUCUCAAAGAACUGCUUGGAAAUGGAAUUUGUUGACUGAGGAUUUGCCAUUUUCUAGCUAAUGGAGAUGGUCAGAGUGGAACUUCGGAAAAUUUUAAGGAAAUGAUUUCAAUUUAUUAGAUGGGCCUGAUUGCCACGUGUGAAGAUACACGUUUAUUUAAAAGCCAAAGUUCUUUAAGCCCUGACUUCCUGCGAGGUUAAGCUGGAGAACUGGUGAAGGCGAAUGACCCAGAAGAAAGUUCUCUUAUCUGAUCCAGGACCUCGCAAACAUGGGAACGAUUCUCACAUCUACACAUUGACUUUCAUUCUUUCAUAUUUUGUGGCACUCCACAUACCUUUCUGAACUGUCCUUGAAUGAAGACAUCAGAAUAUUGUUAAUGGUUGGCCUGAGAAACUGUGAUGGGAUUUAUACCUAGUAGGGAAGAUCUGCUAUCUAUCAAAAGAAUUAAAUUGAUCAUGGAAAAUACUGUUGGGUUUUAGUCUUUGAGAAGCUUUCUCCGCCUGGCUGUUUCUGAACACGCUCCACGGGAGAAGAGGCCGGUCUUUGCUGAUGGACCAUCAGUAGUGAGUUCGGUACCUUUGACCUGAAAAGGGAAAUUGUGUGCCAUAUACCUGCAGACUCUAGAAGUGCCUUCACACAAGCUGGCAUGAGUUGGGUUAGUAGAAAUCUGCAUUUACUGUCAUAUUCCCAUGCUCUCCCUUCACCCUCCACAUGCAAAAUGAGCAAACAAAAUGAAGUGUUGCUUCUAGGAGGGUGGAAUUAUCUUUAAGAAAUAUAACUUCCUAUACAUUACAGCUACAGACUCUGGACAAAAUACAAAAGCAACUACAACAGGGCUCUAGAGACUGAGCAAAUCCAGCGCACCCAAGAAGGUUCUGGAGGGGAAUUGAUCCUCAAAAGUGUGAGGUCAGACUAGCUCAUCCUCCAAGACUCAGCAUGCCAUUUUCCUUCCUAAGAAAGUAAGGAGACCAGAAUAACCACUGUUUUCCAGAGAGCGUAAGGGAAAUGCCAAAAACCAGCUGAAGGAGAACUGAAAAUUCUCCAUAUAAACUCUGCCCAAGUCUCUUGUUGAUUAUUGAACUGGGAAGGAAGGAGCAGGCUGAAAGGGGUCUGAGGGGAGAUAUGAGCUGUUGCCCAACACGGUCAACACAAGAGAAGGGCAGCUAAUCGAGUUCAUUUCCUAAUGGAACACAAAUAGCAGUGUUCAGAGGAGAAAAAAUGGACUAGAUUAAGACAGAACACAAUGCAACACAAUAUAAUACAAUUCUGUAACUCUGUUUUUCUUUUAACCUAUUUCUUUUGAUUUUCAGAUUUCAGACCCUGUAUAUUUUCUUCUCUUUUAUUAUUUAUUUAUUUGACAGGCAGAAUUAGACAGUGAUAGAGAAAGAGACAAAGGUCUUCCUUCCAUUGGUUCACUCCCCAAGUGGCUGCAACAGUUGGAGCUGUGCUGAUCCGAAACCAGGAGCCAGGUGCUUCCUCCUGGUCUCCCAUGUGGGUGCAGGGGCCCAAGGACUUGAGCCAUCCUCCACUGCUUUCCCAGGCCACAGCAGAGAGUUGGACUGGAAGAGGAGCAGCCAGGAUUAGAACUUGGCACCCAUAUAGGAUGCCAGUGCCGCAGGCAGAGGAUUAACCUAGUGUGCCAUGGCGCUGACCCCAGACCUUGUAUAUUUUCAAAAGGAAAAUCUAAUAACAGGAUAUCUAUGCUGUACUAUUCAAAUGGUUUUUAAAAAUGUAUUUAUUUAUUUGAAAGUCAACAUUACAGGAAGAGAGGAAGAGACAGAGAGAAACAGAGACAGAGGUAGAGACAGAGGUAGAGAUAGAGAUAGAGAUAGAGAUAGAGAUAGAGAUAGAGAUAGAGAUAGACAAAGGUGGGGGAGGGAGAGAGAGAGAAAGAGAAAGAUCUUCCAUCUGCUGGUUCACUCCCCAAGUAGCCACAAUGGCCAGGUCAGAGCCAGGCCUCAACCAAGAGUUCGGAGCUUCAUAUAGUCUCCCACGUGGGUGGUGGGGGCCCAUAGACUUGAGCAAUCUCACGUGGCUUUUCCCAUCCCAUUAGCAGAGACCUGGAUCAGAAGCUAGGUAAUGGGGACAUGAACCAGUGCCCGUAUGGGAAGCUGGCAUGGCAGGCUACACCACAAUGCCAGACCUCAAAUGUAUUAUUUUUUGUUUUUGUAUUCAUAUAAAAGGAAUAAAUUUUAUGUAUUUCAUAUAUACAGUUUAAGAGCAUAAUGGUAUUUUCUGCCCUACCCAUCCUUCAACCCUCCCUCUUCUUUCCUUUCUUAUUUUUCUUUUAAUUUUUAUAAUGACAUACUUUCAAUUUACUUUAUAAUCACAAAAUUAACCCUCCAUUAAAUAAAGAAUUCAGUAAGUAGUGCAUAGAAAAACCUCUGUUCCUCAAGAAUUUAGACAAUAGCUAUAAACAAUACUCAAAUCUCAAAAUAUCUUUUGCUCAUAUAUGUUAUAUUUUUUGUACUCUAUAUUCAUUACCACAAAUCAGGGGAAAAUAUGAUAUUUGUCUGUUUGGGACUUUCUUAUUUCAUUAAGCAUAAAAGUCUCUAAUUAUAUCUAUUUUGUUGGAAAAGACAGGAUUUCAUUCUUUUUUAUGCCUGAGAAGUAUUCCAUUGGGUAUAUAUACUCCACUUUCUUCAUCCAGUCACCAAUCGAUGGACAUCUGGGUUGAUUCCAUAUCUUAGCCAUUGUGACUUUAGCUGCUAUAAAGCAUCUUUCAUAUGCUGAUAUGAUUUCGCUUGGGUAAAUUGCCAGGAGUGUAAUGUCUGGGUCAUGUUGCAGAUCUAUUUUCAGAUUUCAGAGGAAUCUCCAUACUGUUCUCCAUAAUGGCUUAUAUUCCCACCAAAAGGGUAUUAGGGUGCCUUUCCCCCCACAUUCUCACCAGCAUUUGUAAUUCUUUGUGCUUGUUUUUGGAUGAUAGUCAUUCUUAAUCGGGAUGAAGUGAUUUUGAUUCGCAUUUCUCUGAUGGCUAGUGAUGUUGAGCAAAGGGACAUUUGAUAUUUAAAGUGUUCUGUUGAUUCUUAGAAUAAUAAGCUUUUGACAAUUCUAUUUCUUUGAGGUGAAGUUAUGUUUUGCCACACCAAAAAAAAAAAAAAAAAAGAAAGAGCUCAAAUGUUGGUCUCCCUCCAGUUGUCUAUGAAAUUGCCAUUUUGUAUUAUGUUCUUCGAAGUACUCUGCCAUAAGGAAAUGGACUUUAUGAUUAAGUUUAUUGUGACAUCUUUUCAUCUGUAGUCAGAUCUUAGGCAGCAAAUUCAUUCUCCAUAAUUAAUACUGUAAUAGCUUCUAUUUCUGGAAGAAUUUGCAAACUAGCAAAUAUGUUCAAAUUUUUAAAAGAAUUUGAAAUUUUAAGUUGGGUAUCUUGUUCUCAAUUGACUUAGGUUUGAGAGCAUUAUUCAUGUUUAUUCCAAUAUACUCAUGUUUUCACUUAGUAAAUUUUUAUAUCAUUUAAGAAACCAAAGUAUUGAGUUGAAUGACUUACUGACAUUUGCAAAGACUAUUUUGUGGCAGGAACAGCUGAGAAUUUAGGACUCCUGAUUUCCAGCAAAGAACUAUUUCAUUGUAGUAUAUUAACUUUUAUAAUGAUCUGUGUGGGCACUCAAUUAGAGUUAUCUUAUUUUCCCUAAUCUCAGAGAAUCUUUUGGUUUCUGAAGUAAAAUAAAAUGAGAACAGUAAGUUAAAAUGUUCACUAAUGUUCCCUAUAUUGUAGAUAUAGCUAAUAGCAAAUGUCUGGAUCUGGCCAUGUGUUCUAAACAGUGAGCUAAGUCCUGAAGGAGCAUGUUCUGGCUGCUUGAGAAAUGCAGAAUAAAGGAGACCCUUUUGUUUGCUUGUCUAACCCACAGCUAUUCCAAUCCUCAGUGUUCAUUCAUUGGUUUCAAAGAUGUUUAUGGAUCCUCAGGGAGGUUUGAGGAACUAGAUUAAGACCUAGACCCCAGGUAAAUAGGUGUACGUAUUUUAUGUCUCCAGUCUGGCUGGAUUUGUAGUCAAGAAGAGAGAUGUGGGCUGGGGACUUGAGGAGGUGACUAAAAACAGAAGUCACUGGGAUAUGGAUUAUCUCCUACCCAUUCUUGAACAGUUACUAAAUUUUAUAUUUGCCUUACUUUAAUUAUUUAAAGCCUUCGCCUUGAUUUAUGACUCCCCUCUUAUCUUCCUUCUACCAUGGCUCCCAUUUUUGUUUUGUUUUUAAAACUUGUUUAUUUAUUUAUACAAAAGGCAAAAUGACAGAGCGAGACAGGGAGAGACAGAGAGAAUGAUAUUUUCCAUCAGUUGAUUCACUCCCCAGAUGACUACAAUAGCCACUUCUGGGCCAGGCCAAAGCCAGGAGACAGGAGCUCCAUAUUGGUUUUCUAUGUGUGUGCCUGGGGCCCAAACACUCAGGCCAUCCUUUACUGCUUUCUCUGGAACAUUAACAUGUAGCUGGAGUGGAAGCAGAGCAGUUGGGACUCAAACCAGCACUCGGAUAUGGGGCACCUCUGAGCCACAAUGCUGGCCUAUCAGACCCCCAUUUUUUUAAGAUGUGCUAAGAAUUCUGAUCCAUACAAUUAUUGCUAAUCUGGAGCAUAAAAGUUUUCAAUAUUUUUGUCACUUCGCCAUUAGGUAUAUUAUCUCAAAAAUCCGAAUUGAAUAUAAUGUAUGGUUUUCCUAUUUCUUUAAACAUACUGUUUUGAGGGGAGAGUGAGUUUUUUUGCCAGCGAGCUUUAUUGAUGCCUCCUGUCUUCCAGAGGUCUAAUGAGAGGGGAGGAGUAGGAUCUCCUGUCAAAGAGGAGUUAUCAGUCAGGAGAGUGAAGAGACAACCGACAGAAUGGGAAAAAAUAUUUGCAAACUAUGCAACAGAUAAAGGGUUAAUAACCAGAAUCUACAAAGAGAUCAAGAAACUCCACAAAAACAAAACCAACAACCCACUUAAGAGAUGGGCCAAGGACUUCAAAAGACAUUUUUCAAAAGAGGAAAUCCAAAUGGCCAACAGGCACAUGAAAAAAUGUUCAAGGUCACUAGCAAUCAGGGAAAUGCAAAUCAAAAGCACAAUGAGGUUUCACCUCACCCCGGUUAGAAUAUGGCUCACAUGCAGAAAUCUACCAACAACAGAUGCUGGCGAGGAUGUGGGGAAAACAGGACACUAACCCACUGUUGGUGGGAAUGCAAACUGGUCAUGCCACUAUGGAAAUCAGUCUGGAGAUUCCUCAGAAACCUGAAUAUAACCCUACCGUUCGACCCAGCCAUCCCACUCCUUGGAAUUUACCCAAAGGAGUUUAAAUUGACAAACAAAAAAGCGGUCUGCACCCUAAUGUUUAUUGCAGCACAAUUCACAAUAGCCAAGACCUGGAACCAACCUAAAUGCCCAUCAACGGUAGACUGGAUAAAGAAAUUAUGGGAUAUGUAUUCUUUAGAAUACUAUACCGCAGUAAGAAACAACGAAAUCCAGUCAUUUGCAACAAAAUGGAGGAAUCUGGAACACAUCAUGCUGAGUGAAGUAAGCCAGUCCCAAAGGGACAAAUACCAUAUGUUCUCCCUGAUCAGUGACAACUGACUGAACACCAAAAAGGAAACCUCCUGAAGUGAAAUGGACACUAUGAGAAAUGGUGACUUGAUCAGCAUAGCCCUGACUGCUAAUGGACAACUUAAUACAUUAUCCCUCUUAGUAUUUUUUUUGUCUGUUCUACUUAAUAUGACUGGUUUAAUUCUGUAAUUAUCACACAGUUAUUCUUAAGUGUUGAAAAUUAACUGAAAUGUGAUCCCUGUUAAACAUAAGAGUGGGAAUAAGAGAGGGAAGAGAUGUAUAAUUUGGGGCAGGCUCGGGCUGACUUGCCCCAAUUGGUAGAGUUGGAAACAUACCAGGGGAUUCCAGUUCAAUCCCAUCAAGGUGGCAUGUGCCAAUGCCAUCUCACUACUCCAAGUGAUCAAUUUCAGUUCACAAUUGAUCAUAAUGAAAGGACUAAGAGUCAAAGGGAGCACAUAAACAAGUCUAGUACCUGCUAACACUAACCGAUAGAAUAAAUAAAGGGGAGAGUGAUCCAACAUGGGAAGUGAGAUACUCAGCAGACUCAUAGAAUGGCGGAUGUCCUAAAUAGCACUCUGGCCUCAGAAUCAGCCCUAAAGGCACUCGGAUCUGGCUGAAAAGCCCAUGAGAGUAUUUCAGGCAUGGAAAGCCAAGACACUCUGGCAAAAAGAUCUCUGUGAGUGAGAUCCCAGUGGAAAGAACAGGUCUUCAAAGAGGGAGGUGCCUUUCUCUGAAGGGAGGAGAGAACCUCCACUUUGACUAUGACCGUGUCUAAAGAAGAUAAGAGUCGGAGAACUCAAGGGGCUUCCAUAGCCUUGGAUACUCAUGACUGGUGCACAGGGAGAUUACUGAUGCCAUAAACAGGAGUGUCAAUUUGUAAAGUCAACAACAGGAGUCACUGUGCACUUACUCCUCAUGUAGGAUCUCUGUCCUUAAUGUGCUGUACAUUGAGGCUUAAUGCUAUAACGAGUACUCAAACAGUAUAUUUCACUUUGUGUUUCUAUGGGGGUGCAAACGAUUGAAAUCUUUACUUAAUGUACACUAAACUGAUCUUCUGUAAAAAAAAAAAAAAAAAAGAAAUUAUCAAUUCCCAACUUGACUCUCACUGGGAUUAAACAUGACAAUAGGUCUGAU